AGUGGUGUGGCUUAGUGGAAAGAGUAGGAGCCUGGAAAUCAGAGGACCUGGGUUCUAAUCCCAGCUCUGCCA
rnacentral:tRNA from 1 species